rnacentral:miRNA from 1 species
GUUCAAGCUAGCUGUGGGAAG